rnacentral:rRNA from 1 species
AUGCGAACGACGGCAGUCCCCUCCGGCGCCGACCCUUCCUUUCCUUCCCAGCCGUGCGGUGGCCCACUGCCGGUGCACAUCUCCUCUCCCUCGGGCCACCUCCUGACCCGCCCCUUCUUCUCUGGCUCCAGCCAGCCCCUUCUUCCUCCACCCUUGUUCCCUAGCUCCAGGCAGCCAACUCUGUUUCUUUUUAUUCCUAGUCCUUUUGUCAAUGAUUUGCUGACCACUGAUGUAUCCUCUUAUUGCAGGUUGGAUUUGGAACUAUGUGUCGUUGAGAAUUUGAGACACCUAUUUAAACUAGAUGUAUUGCACUUUGUUGGUGUAAUUUUUGUUUGUUUUUGUGUCAAUAUUAUAUGA